GCUGGGUGCAGUGGUGCCUACCUGUACUCCUAGCAGCUUGGAGGCUGAGGCAGGAGGAUCACAAGUUCAGAGCCAGCCUCAG
rnacentral:sRNA from 1 species